rnacentral:lncRNA from 1 species
GAUAGAGUUCACACACUUGGUCGAGGGUUAGAUAAUAGUGUCUGAAUAUGCUCGAUAAUUUCUAGAGUUGAACUGAUAUUCUCCUGAGAGCAUGAUGAACAAUGGCAAAAAGGUAAUGAAGUUUGAGUGAGACCUCCGUCCUGAGAUUAGGCAACAACUAUAUAUAUUCGAGCUCAACACCUACUCAGUCGUUCUAACCAAGGCAUAAUUGAUAGAGAAAAACCUUCGCAUCUUUCCUCCA